rnacentral:ncRNA from 1 species
CGACUGUUUACCAAAAACAUAGCCUUCAGCCAACCAAGUAUUGAAGGUGACGCCUGCCCAGUGACAUUAGGUUCAACGGCCGCGGUAUCCUAACCGUGCGAAGGUAGCACAAUCAAUUGUCUCAUAAAUAGGGACUUGUAUGAAUGGCU